rnacentral:tRNA from 1 species
AACGUUAUUGAUAUGCAAACGCAUAUCUCCCCGUGCCAAUCGGAAGCUGAAAAUGUCGACCGAGACCAAAAAAGAGUAAUCAAACCUAGCCAGCUUAUUCGUAAUCAUCUGCUGGGCAGGAUUUCGGGCUUGUAGCUCAGCUGGUAGAGCGCCGCCUUUGCAAGGCGGAGGCCCUGGGUCCGAAUCCCAGCAAGUCCAUUUGAACCAAACACAUGCACAUGCACACAUUGAGGUCGACUCGAUGUGGAAGGGUGGAGGUCCAUCGUUUGCAAGACGAUGGUCCUAAGAUACCAUGCACAAGCUUUGCGACCAGACGCUCACUGAGUUUAGUGGGGCAUAA